CCGAGCGCUAAAAUAAAACCCUUUCUGAAAUUUUUGAGCGCUAUUCUUCCCUCCCAAACUCAUCAAACUUCCACCGUACCUUAAACCCUAACUCACUGAAUCCCUAAGUUCUAAGAAUUUCUACCUUUGAAACCCUACACCUUUCCCCAAAUUUCAAUGGUUUGAUAUCUAUCAUUCACGCUGGUUUCAUUCUGGUUUCUGCCUAAAUCGUCGAAAUCGCUCGAAUCGCUCAAACUACAGCCUAAUCGUUCGAAUCCCUCUAAUCAAAUCUCUCAAAUCGCCCUAACCACAAUCUCAUCAUUCGGUUCUCACUCGUUUCAGCAGCAAUCAUUGGAAUCAUUCUCAAUAUUUUGAAAUGUGUAGUUUAAUGCACCGCUUUCAGUUGCCCUUGACUUCAAAUUCGAAGACAACAACUUACAUCGAAGAACAGAGUACAGCUUCGCCGACAAGUGAAACUCAGAAGCAUGGUAAUAUAUGGAGAAAGCCUCAUAAUAAGGGAAAAUUGGUAGAUGGAAGGCUAGUUGCUUCUGAACAAUUGGGGUUCAACGAUUGCAUAUCAUCGUAUGCAUCUGUUAGAGGUUGAGACAUACUCAGAAGAGACAAUUAUACUUAAGCAGCAACUGGAAUGGAAACAAGUCAACAAUUGUUUUAUCCUUGGUUGUAAUUUGUCAGAGAUUUCCCAGAGGCCGUUCUUGUUGCUGCUUCCCUUGGGCAGGGAUGGUUAGAAGUGCAUGCCAUUUGAAUGUUGAUCUUCAGGUCGGAAUGUUGAAUGCAGGACAAGCUCUCAUUUGGUUCUUCAGUUAGUGAUAAGAAUCAUUCAUACCAGCUAGCCUCAAUCAUACUAAACAUUCAUAAGGUUUGGGCCAAGUCGUGGACUUUGGGUGUAACAGGACCAGGACGGUUAUGCGGUUAUAGCUGUAGACGGGCAUGGUGAAUACCAGGUGAUAGUUGAUUCAAGACCUGAUGAUGAUGCUUUUGGUGUUACCGUCGUUCUCGGAAGGCCGUAACUUUCACUUAUGUAACCAACUAAGGACCUAUACUUGAUGGUGCACAUGCGGUUGUUCAGGUUGAAGAUAUUGAAAAAGUUAACAAUGGGGUUCAUUGAUGAGGUUUCCCAUAGUUUAAUAUAGUCAAUGCUGCAACAACACUUGGACGGUAAUCAUGACAUUUUCUCAUCAAUCUUUGCUUUGCAAGAUUCUGGUUUAUUCUUUUGUGGUUUAAUAUGCCACAACACAAUGUAAACAUGCAAACUGCAUCUCCACUGCAACUGUCUCGGAUGUGUGCAGUGCAAAGAUGAAGAUAUCAAUAAACGUGAAAUCUUUGCAGAUCAAGAAUGAUGAUAUCAAUGAAGAUUUUCAGUCAUUCGAAGAGGAAGAGACAUAGAUGAAGAGAUGGGUAGAUGUAGAUGUUUAAGUUUAUUUUUAUAUAUUAAAAAUGUUAUUUUGAAUAUUAAUGAUGGUUGACAUUUGAAUAUGUAAUUUGAAGAUGUUUUGUUGAUUGUGAAUCAAUAAAUUAUGU